rnacentral:misc_RNA from 1 species
UGGGUUUGGAUCACUUUCUCCAUAUCCUGCUCUGUCAAAGGUAAGGACAUAUACACUCAGCUCUUCCAUCACCUCUUGAGAUAGUGGCAAAUAUAUGUCCUUGGAGCUGUCAAAGCCAUGGACGAGAAUAACCUUGUACUUAGCAAUUUCUUUUGGAACACCCCUCUCUCUAUAAGAUAAAUGCCUUCCGUCACUGAGCUUGAUUCUUGGUGAAGUAAUAGGAGGACCAUUUGGAGAACCACAAACCUUUGGAGGGGGAGGCUUUAUUCUUUUGUAUCCCAAGGCUACUACACACACCGCUAGUACCGCUGCUGCCGCCGCAAACAUCCCUUAAAUUUUGACUUAUCCGUAGACUAGUAAUUGGUAUGUGUUUUGAGUAAGAUUUCG